GUGUCCUGAAUGGUUUACACUGCGCACAGCUUCCUCUCAGCCCGCUCUGAGCUGGAAGCAGCAUGUGGGACCUGGCCCUGAUCUUCCUCGCAGCAGCCUGCGUGUUCUCACUAGGGGUCACUCUGUGGGUCAUUUGCAGCCAUUUUUUCACUGUGCACAUCCCUGCAGCGGUUGGCCACCCUGUGAAACUGAGAGUCCUCCAUUGCAUCUUCCAGCUGCUGUUGACGUGGAAACCCACCAUGGCAUAUGCUCUCGUUUGUGCAAGGAGAGUGACUCUGUGGUUCUGGCAGUUGGUUACCGCAAGUUACCUAAGCAUAAGUUUCCAGUGCCAGUAAGAGACUGCUUGGUGGCCACCAUCCACUUCCUGAAGUCCCUGGAUGCAUAUGGAGUGGAUCCAGCCCGGGUUGUGGUCUGCGGUGACAGUUUCGGAGGGGCAAUAGCCGCAGUGGUUUGUCAACAACUUGUGGACAGGCCAGAUCUGCCCCGGAUCCGGGCUCAGAUCCUGAUCUACGCCGUUCUCCAAGUCCUGGAUUUACAAACUCCUUCGUUUCAACAGAGGAAAAACAUCCCACUGCUCACCUGGAGUUUCAUCUGCUACUGUUUUUUUCAAAACCUGGAUUUCAGCUCCUCCUGGCAAGAGGUCAUCAUGAAAGGUGCCCAUUUGCCUGCUGAAGUCUGGGAAAAGUACAGAAAGUGGUUGGGCCCAGAAAACAUCCCUGAGAGGUUUAAGAAGAGGGGUUACCGACUGAAGCCCCAUGAGCCCAUGAAUGAAGCUGCUUACUUGGAAGUAAGUGUUGUCCUGGAUGUGAUGUGCUCGCCCCUGAUUGCAGAAGAUGAUAUAGUGUCUCAGCUCCCGGAAACCUGCAUCGUGAGCUGUGAGUAUGAUGCUCUCCUGGACAAUUCACUGUUGUACAAGAAAAGGCUGGAAGACCUGGGAGUGCCCGUGACCUGGCACCAUAUGGAGGAUGGUUUCCAUGGAGUGCUCAGCACCAUUGACAUGAGCUUCUUGCACUUUCCCUGCUCCAUGAGAAUUCUGAGUGCAUUAGUUCAAUUUGUAAAGGGACUGUGACCAUCUUUCUUCUCUGCUGGUACUGCGGUGUGGAUUCCACUGGCAUCCAGCCUCCCACAGGGCUCUCUGUUGCUGAUUUAGGUGGUGCAUAGUGGGGCUAGGGAGGGGGUAGAGGUUGCUGUCACCUUUCUGGUCCAGGUUCUAGAACCACACAAUGCAUGCUCCUGAUGUCCAGAGGACGUGGUAGAAAAGACAGGUUUGGAGGUGGGAGUGUGGCUGUCUCUAUUCUCUGUUGGGAAAACCUGGGCUGACAAUAUUCAGUGGCCAUUUGUGGGAGUGAAUCAGCCGGUAAGAGCUGUUCUCAGCCUCCCUAAGGGGCAGUUCAGGCUCCCAGAUUGAUCCAGACUGUGUGUGACUUUCGUCCAUUUGACUGGACUUUGGAAUAGCACAAGGGCAUCACGUACCUCACAAGGCUUUCCCAAUGUGGCUCAGAGGCAGGAGCUCUGAUGCUUUAGGCUGCUGUGAGGUGGUGGUGGUGGUGGAGAAACUGGCUUCACUCACCUACUCUUCUGUGAACAGUAGUGACUUUUCCCGCUGUUUCUCAGCCUCUGGGAUCAGAGUCUUCACUGUCUGGGCUGGAAACUUUAAGAUAGAAUGGAUAGAGCUUCCACAGUGCUUGGCAUCUAGUGGUGGAUGAAGACAGCCUGCAGCUGCCCGACUUGGGGAGCUCUGGAGCUCCUGGAAUCAAAGCUUGUCUUCCAACCAGAAGCCCCAAGGCAAUGUUCUAAGAAUUUGAGAAGUUGGGAGGGAAGUGGGGUCCUGAGUUAGAGACCCAUGAAGGCUGAGUCUAACCAGAUAACCCUGUCCACAGUGCAAAGUCAAGACAGCCAAAGGAACAGAAGAUGUAUUUGUGAAAACUAUUUCUUUUUUAAGACAUGGAACCAACUCAAAUUGGCCUCUAUUAGAAAGACAAUAGAUUGGCUUAGGUAGGGAUGCAUGCUAGGCAUACAUCAGGCAAGGUUUGAUCCAGGAACUCACACAGUGCCAUCAGCUGUCCUGUCUUCUCUGCUCUGCUCUUCUCUCCUCUGUGUUAAUGCCAACUUCUCCUCUUCAUACGGUGGCACUGAGCAGCUUCAUGCCUACCUUCCUCCAGGGUCAAGUUCAUUAUCAUGGACUUGCCUCAUUCUCAGCAGUCCCAGAAAAAAGCCUAAUUGCAACUUGAUGGCUUUGUUGGCUUUCUGAGCAAUGUGGCCAGUUGCCACAGUGAAGGGAAUGGAAUAAUCUAACUCACCAUUCCCAAGUCCUAUGCCUUCCUGAGAGUGGGGGGUGGAGUCAAUUCACCUUGGUGCUUGGACUAAGCAUGAGGUGGUGAGUGACAACGUUCCUAAUUGAAGGGUAGGGUAAAUGGUUGUUGGGUGGACACCAACACUUAUUCUACUACAGAAGCUAAAUUGAACCCUCAGGCAGGGUACGUGAAAGUGGCAAGAGAUGUCAAGACCACUGGGCAAGUUGGCCAGUUGUUCCUUAGGAAUGAAAAUUCUUUUGAAAGGAAUGGCCAGGGUCCUCUGCUGGCCCCACUUGGUCUUCUGGAGGCUCUGAUCUUGGUUGGUUAGUGGUCUUUACAGGCCAAGGUCAAGGCCAUUGCACAAAAAACCCUGUGCAUGCCCUUAACGUGCUUUCAGUUGAAUAUUUGGGCUGAACUAUGAGGCGGAGAGGAAUCCCACUGGGUGGCUCCUUGCUGCAUUCGCAGUUGACCAGCAUGGGGUUUGUUGGAGAAAUAGGAACCAUCCCCUGAAAACACACACUAUGGUAGCCACUCAACUGUUGAAAGGCACUGGAGUCCAAUGGGUGAGGCCGCCUCUGAGAAAAGCCUCUGAGUUGUGGCUGGGAGAGGCUCCCUCCUUGGAGUGUUGCUUUUUUUGUUUCACCCCUGCCUCUGGAGAUGGGUAGAGGAACAUGAGCUGACCUUCUGGGAAGUUAGGUUGGUGAGGAGUUUCUGAGGCACUGCAGGGCCAUGCCCAGUAGAGAGGAAUGUAUAACAUUUUAAGAGGCUGAGAGCACCCCUUGUUGGGCGCAUGCCCGUGGCAGCUUCCUUCUGCAGAUCAUGGGAGAAAUCAAGCACUUUCACCUAAUGGCUAGAUGAUUGAUUUUGGGACGAAAUUCUCCACUCCUCUCCUUUACCACAUCACCACUAUCCUUCCUGCAAUACAUCCACGAGACUCACUGAGUGGAAAAGGGAUAGGAAUGAAUGUUCACCCAGGGCCAGCUACAUGCUAGGCACUGUACUGGACCAUUUAAAUUUGCCACCUCUUAUGUUCCUCACAUUAAUCUUACAGAGUAGGUACAGACAUACCUAUGGAUAUUGCAGAUUCAGUUCCAGACCACAGCAAUAAAGCAAGUCACAUGAAUUUUUUGCUUUCCUUAGUGCAUGUAAAAGUUACAUUUCCACUAUAUUAUAGUUUAUUAAGUGUGCAAUAGCAUUAUGUCUUUAAAAAGCAUGUACUUACCUUAAUUUAAAAAUACCUUGUUGCUGAAAAAUGCUAACAAUCAUCUGAGCCUUCAGUGAUUGCAGUAGCCUGGGCUACUAUUUUCUAUGUGGGGUUUGUACAUUCUGCCCAUGUCUGCGUGGGUUUUCUCUGAGUUCUCCAGCUUCCUCCCACAUUCCAAAGAUGUGUAUGUUACAUUCAUGGGAAUGUCUAAAUUGUCGUAAUCUUUUUGCUGGUUGAUGGUCUUGCCUUGAUGUUGAUGCUGCAGGUGGUGGUUGCUGAAGGUGGAGGAGGCUGUGGCAAUUUCUUAAAAUAAAAUAAGACAACAGUGG
rnacentral:sRNA from 1 species